GCGGGUGUAGCUCAGUCGGUAGAGCAUCAGCCUUCCAAGCUGAGGGUCGCGGGUUCAAGUCUCGUCGCCCGCU
rnacentral:tRNA from 2 species